GAUGAACGCUGGCGGCGUGCCUAAUACAUGCAAGUCGAGCGAAUGGAUUAAGAGCUUGCUCUUAUGAAGUUAGCGGCGGACGGGUGAGUAACUCGUGGGUAACCUGCCCAUAAGACUGGGAUAACUCCGGGAAACCGGGGCUAAUACCGGAUAACAUUUUGAACCGCAUGGUUCGAAAUUGAAAGGCGGCUUCGGCUGUCACUUAUGGAUGGACCCGCGUCGCAUUAGCUAGUUGGUGAGGUAACGGCUCACCAAGGCAACGAUGCGUAGCCGACCGGGGAGGGUGAUCGGCCAAACUGGGACUGAGACACGGCCCAGACUCCUACGGGAGGCAGCAGUAGGGAAUCUUCCGCAAUGGACGAAAGUCUGACGGAGCAACGCCGCGUGAGUGAUGAAGGCUUUCGGGUCGUAAAACUCUGUUGUUAGGGAAGAACAAGUGCUAGUUGAAUAAGCUGGCACCUUGACGGUACCUAACCAGAAAGCCACGGCUAACUACGUGCCAGCCGCCGCGGUAA
rnacentral:rRNA from 1 species